AUACUAGCUAUGGCAGUACAUAUUCUAAAAUUGGAACAAAACAGAGAUUAGCAUGGCCUCUGUGCAAGGAUGACACGCAAAUCCGUGAAGUGUUCCAUAUUUUU